ensembl:snRNA U6 U6 spliceosomal RNA
ACUCUCUUUGGCAGAAUAUAUACUAAAAUUGGAAUGACACAGAGAAGACUAGCAUGGCUCCUGUGCAAUGAUGGCAGACAAAUUCAAUAGCACUGUAGCACUGUC